UACGUAGGGUGCGAGCGUUAAUCGGAAUUACUGGGCGUAAAGCGUGCGCAGGCGGUGAUGUAAGACAGGUGUGAAAUCCCCGGGCUUAACCUGGGAACUGCAUUUGUGACUGCAUCGCUGGAGUACGGCAGAGGGGGAUGGAAUUCCGCGUGUAGCAGUGAAAUGCGUAGAUAUGCGGAGGAACACCGAUGGCGAAGGCAAUCCCCUGGGCCUGCACUGACGCUCAUGCACGAAAGCGUGGGGAGCAAACAGG
rnacentral:rRNA from 1 species